rnacentral:rRNA from 1 species
GGAUUCCCUUAGUAACUGCGAGUGAAGUGGGAUAAGCUCAAAUUUAAAAUCUGGUAGUCUCUGGCUGCCCGAGUUGUAAUCUAGAGAAGUGUUUUUCUGUGCUGGACUGUGUUCAAGUUUCCUGGAUAUGGAACAUCAUAGAGGGUGAGAAUCCCGUCCUUGACAACAGACAACCAAGCACUUUGUGAUGCACUCUCGACGAGUCGAGUUGUUUGGGAUUGCAGCUCAAAAUGGGAGGUAAAUUCCUUCUAAAGCUAAAUAUUGGCAAGAGACCGAUAGCGAACAAGUACCGUGAGGGAAAGAUGAAAAGCACUUUGGAAAGAGAGUUAAACAGUACGUGAAAUUGUUAAAAGGGAAACAAUUGAAGUCAGUUGCAUCUGCUUGGACUCAGCCCUUUGAAGGGUGCAUUUCCUUGUGGAUGGGCCAGUGUUCAUGUUGAUGGCUGGAAAAGGGGCUAAGGAAUGUGGCUCCCUUUGGGGAGUGUUAUAGCCUUGGCUCAUAUACAGCACUUAAUAUGGAGUCAUACAGCAUGCUUCGGUGGUGCUUGUGCUGGCAUAAUGGCUUUAAAUGACCCGUCUUGAAACACGGACCAAGGAGUCUAACAUAUCUGCAAGUAUUUGAGUGCUAAACUCAAGUGCAUAAUGAAAGUGAUAGCUGGGAACCCUUUUGUGGGGGGGCACCAGUGGCCCGAGCGGAUCUCCUGUGAUGCAUCGGAGCCAGAGCAUAUAUGUUGGGACCCGAAAGAUGGUGAACUAUGCCUGAAUAGGGUGAAGCCAGAGGAAACUCUGGUGGAGGCUCGUAGCGAUUCUGACGUGCAAAUCGAUCGUCAAAUUUGGGUAUAGGGGCGAAAG